GGCAGGCGGGCGGGCUUCUGGGCCCCGGAGGAGGCUCGGCGGGUGGGGGUCAGCUCGGCCCAGCCCGGCCCAAAGGAAGGAGAGAAGAAGGGAGCGGAGAAUAGGGGCGAGCUGGCGAGAAGAGUGGCUUCACCCACUGCUUGAAGUCCAUACUGAUGGACUGGACCCAUUUACGAAUUUGACCCAACUUUACCCAAGAGACAGAAGUCCCAGCCGGACAACUGGAAAGGACGGGUUCGGGUGUCCUCUUACUUGUUCUGCCAGUGGCCUGAUUUCUCAGCUUGAUCCCGUGGAGGAGAGAAGGCACGCUGUGCUCUGUACAGAUAUCAGCCCAAAAGGAUAGCUUCUACUCCACUGCUACGGACCAAAGGCUGUGUGGCAGGCUGCUGGUUGGGUUCGGUUGGGUUUUUCCCCUUUGCUAUGCAAUAUUUAUAGAGGGGAAUGAGGCCACAUGAGAAGGGAAAGGUUGAAGGGGCCCCAGAGUCCCAGACAAUCGCAGAGCUCCUUUCCCUCUUCCCUCGAUGUCCCCAAAGCUCCUCUAGGGGAUCUUGCUGUGUUGCCCAAUGUUUGACUUGAAAAUGCAGGGUAGUAAAAGGCACUCUUUUUUGCUUCCUUCUGUUCAAACAGUCCUGCUCCUCUGCACACACACAGGUAAAAGCUUUCCCUGAAAUUCAGGCACGCGUUCAUUUCUCAAAUAUUGUUUAUAUGUAUAUACAUAUAUAUGUAAUAAAUGAAUGAAUGCCCAAAUUCUGAAUACCUGA
rnacentral:lncRNA from 1 species